rnacentral:rRNA from 1 species
GAUCAUGGCUCAGGAUGAACGCUAGCGAUAGGCCUAACACAUGCAAGUCGAGGGGCAGCACACGAGUAGCAAUACGAUGGUGGCGACCGGCGCACGGGUGAGUAACACGUAUGCAACCUACCUUAACAGGGGAAUAACCCGUUGAAAAACGGACUAAUACUCCAUGACACAGGGGUCCCGCAUGGGAAUAUUUGUUAAAGAUUUAUCGGUUGAAGAUGGGCAUGCGUUCCAUUAGCUUGUUGGUGAGGUAACGGCUCACCAAGGCUACGAUGGAUAGGGGAACUGAGAGGUUUAUCCCCACACUGGAACUGAGACACGGUCCAGACUCCUACGGGAGGCAGCAGUGAGGAAUAUUGGUCAAUGGACGGAAGUCUGAACCAGCCAUGCCGCGUGCAGGAAAGACGGCUCUAUGAGUUGUAAACUGCUUUUGUACGAGGGUAAAUGCAGAUACGUGUAUCUGUCUGAAAGUAUCGUACGAAUAAGGAUCGGCUAACUCCGUGCCAGCCGCAGC